rnacentral:lncRNA from 1 species
CAGGGCAAAGGCACCCGGCAAGAAGUGCGGGGGUGACUGGCUAGUGGCGUCUAUCGCGAGGACCUCUGCCGGGUGCUGUUCCAGCGCGCGAAACAAGACGGCGGUGUCACGGGCCAGCACCGACAAGACAUCAUCCGGACGUGUGUCGAAAAAGGCAAGCAUCUGGCGUGCCGCAGGUCGGCCGCCAUUUUCGGCGCCCUCAAUGAUGCGGUUUUUGUAAAACUUGAGUACCACAGGGGAUCGGCAGAGGGGGCACGAUAUGCGCCCGCCGUCGUCGGUCGCAAGCCGGCGCAGGCAGUCGAGGCAAAAGGCGUGCCGGCAGGCCGUCUUGUAAAAGGCCGGCGCAUCGCAACACACAGGACAGGCAUCGGGCCAGGCCUGUUCCUUUGCAGCAGCCAUUCGAGGGACAUCGUCGGGCCAUGCAAAGACCCGAUCUUGCCCACCUGCCGCGCCAGAGGUUCCAACGUCGGGUCGAUGCUGUAGGUACAUGGGCGAGGGUUUUGGUGACCAAGGUGGGCAGAGCGCAUAACACCCCAAGGCAGCGCAAGGCUGACGGUAUCAAUAAAAAAAAGCAUGAAAC